rnacentral:rRNA from 1 species
AUUGAACGCUGGCGGCAUGCCUUACACAUGCAAGUCGAACGGCAGCACGGGAGCAAUCCUGGUGGCGAGUGGCGAACGGGUGAGUAAUAUAUCGGAACGUGCCCAGUCGUGGGGAUAACGUAGCGAAAGCUACGCUAAUACCGCAUACGAUCUAUGGAUGAAAGCGGGGGAUCGCAAGACCUCGCGCGAUUGGAGCGGCCGAUAUCAGAUUAGGUAGUUGGUGAGGUAAAGGCUCACCAAGCCGACGAUCUGUAGCUGGUCUGAGAGGACGACCAGCCACACUGGGACUGAGACACGGCCCAGACUCCUACGGAGGCAGCAGUGGGAAUUUUGGACAAUGGGCGCAAGCCUGAUCCAGCAAUGCCGCGUGCAGGAUGAAGG